CACGUAGGGCGCAAGCGUUGUCCGGAAUUAUUGGGCGUAAAGAGCUCGUAGGCGGUCUGUUACGUCUGCUGUGAAAACCCGGGGCUUAACCCUGGGCUUGCAGUGGAUACGGGCAGGCUAGAGUUCGGUAGGGGAGACUGGAAUUCCUGGUGUAGCGGUGAAAUGCGCAGAUAUCAGGAGGAACACCGGUGGCGAAGGCGGGUCUCUGGGCCGAUACUGACGCUGAGGAGCGAAAGCGUGGGGAGCGAACAGGG
rnacentral:rRNA from 1 species